CAGUAGCCGCGGUAAUACGGAGGGUGCAAGCGUUAAUCGGAAUUACUGGGCGUAAAGCGUGCGUAGGCGGCUUCUUAAGUCGGAUGUGAAAUCCCUGAGCUUAACUUAGGAAUUGCAUUCGAUACUUGGAAGCUAGAGUAUGGGAGAGGAUGGUAGAAUUCCAGGUGUAGCGGUGAAAUGCGUAGAGAUCUGGAGGAAUACCGAUGGCGAAGGCAGCCAUCUGGCCUAAUACUGACGCUGAGGUACGAAAGCAUGGGGAGCAAACAGGAUUAGAUACCCCGGUAGUCCCUGUCUCUUAUAC
rnacentral:rRNA from 1 species